GCAGCUCCCACGGCCCUCUCCUUUGGGACACUCUGGGGUCAGAUCCCGUCACCCACUGGGGCCGGGUGCUGCUGUGCGUCCCCGUUAGAGCAGAGGGCCCUGGCUAAGCACAGCCCCUGCCUCUCCUAAAUGGCAUUCAGAGUGGACCCUAAAUCCAAUGACAAGUGUUCUUAUAAGAGAAAGGCGGAGGGAGACUAGAGAAAGACUCAAGGAGAACGUCAUGUGAAGAUGGAGGCAGAGAUUGGGGUGAUGCCUCUACAAGCCAAGGAGCCCCCAAAAUUCCCUGGACCAGAUUCUCCCUCACAACCCUGGGAGGAACCAACUCUGCUGACAGCUCCCUCUUGGACAUCCAGCCUCCAGGACUGCGAGAAGUAAACUGCUAUUGUCUGCGCCCCGUCCGCAGUGCCUUGUUACGGCCGUCCGAGCGGACUCACACAGGUGGAUUUGGGAGGACCUAUCCUCCUGCCUUCUCAUUUUGGCCAAUUCAAAUAAACCUUUCCGCAUCUCCAAGCACUGCGUCUCAGUGACUGGUUUCCUGUGCAUCGGGCACACAAACUUGAGAUUAAGAGGUUCGGUAUCAGGAGUGAUGAGCACAUUCUCUGCCUCCUAAAGCCGGUCUGGUCUCGACGUCCACCUCCAGGUCCAGAAUCUCCAGAAUUUUCCUGAGAAGGUAAGAAACAAGCAAAGAACAUUUGUUCACCAGGAGUCAUUAUAAAGAACGUGAAGUCAAGCCACAAAUUAGGAGAAGCUAUCUCCCAUACACGUAAGCGACAAGCGGUUUCUACCCGGUAAGACAUCAAAGCUGCCCCACACGUCAGUGAGAUGUGGGAUCCGAGAGAAAAAUGGGCAAAAGACACGAAAAGGCCCGUCACAGAGCAGGAAACAGAAAUGGCCAAGAAACAUGUGAAAACCGGGUUAGUAGUCAGGGAAAUGGGAAUUAAAGUCAUAAGGUGAUGCCCUUUAACACCUGCCUGACUGAUGAAUGUUCACACUUGUGGGCAAGGACACGCGUGCCCGGAUGGCCGUGCGUGGACUGAACAGCAU
rnacentral:lncRNA from 1 species